rnacentral:lncRNA from 1 species
AGAUGGCUCAGCCGUUAAAAGCAUAUACUACUCUUGUAGUCCAGUUUCUAGCACCCAUGUUGGGAAGCUCACAACUGCUUAAACUCCAGCUCCAGGGGAUCCAACUGUGCUCCACAGACACUGCACUCACAGGCACACACCACACACAGACAGACACUGCACUCAUAGGCACACACACACACAGACACUGCACUCACAGGCACACACCAUACACACACAGACACUGCAUUCAGAGGCACACACCACACACACACAGACACUGCAUUCACAGGCACACACCACACACACACACACACACACACACACACACACACACUGCACUCACAGGCACACACCACACACACUGCUCUCACAGGCACACACCACACACACACAGACACUGCACUCAUAGGCACACACCACACAUAGACACUGCACACACAAGCACACACCACACACACACAGACACUGCAUUCACAGGCACACACCAUACACAAAGGCACUGCACUCACAGGCACACACCACACACACAGACAGAUACUGCACUCAUAGGCACACACACACACACAAACACAGACACUGCAUUCAUAGGUACACACCACACACACACACACACACACACACACACACACAGACACUGUACCCUUAGGCACACACCACACACACAGACACUGCACUCACAGGCACACACCACACAUAGAGACUGCAUACACAAGCACACACCACACACACACAAACACUGCAUUCACAGGCACACAGCACACACACAGGCACUGCACUCACAGGCACACACCACACACACACAGACACUGCACUCACAGGCACACACCACACACACACACACACACACACACACAUACACACAGACUGCACUCACAGGCACACACCACACAUAGAGACUGCAUACACAAGCACACACCACACAUACACAGACACUGCACUCACAGGCACACACCACACACACAUGCACUGCACUCACAGGCACACACCACACACACACACACAGACACUGCACUCACACACACACACACACCAUACACACAGACACUGCACUCACAGGCACACACUACACAUAGACACUGCACUCAUAGGCACACACCA